UGCCUACGGGUGGCUGCAGUGAGGAAUAUUGGGCAAUGCCCGCAAGGGUGACCCAGCAACGCCGCGUGGAGGAUGAAUGCCGUAAGGUUGUAAACUCCUGUUAGAGGGGACGAAAUAUUCAGCUUCGUAAGAAUCUGAAUUUGACUGUACCCUCAGAGAAAGCCCCGGCUAACUACGUGCCAGCAGCCGCGGUAAUACGUAGGGGGCAAGCGUUGUCCGGAUUCACUGGGUGUAAAGGGCGCGCAGGCGGGUUAAUAAGUCAGAGGUGAAAUCCUACAGCUCAACCGUAGAACUGCCUUUGAUACUGUUAAUCUUGAGUUCGGAAGAGAGAGACGGAAUUCCAGGUGUAGUGGUGAAAUACGUAGAUAUCUGGAAGAACACCAGUAGCGAAGGCGGUCUCUUGGUCCGAUACUGACGCUCAGGCGCGAAAGCGUGGGUAGCAAACAGGAUUAGAUACCCCAGUAGUCUGA
rnacentral:rRNA from 1 species